AACGUAGGUGGCGAGCGUUAUCCGGAUUCAUUGGGCGUAAAGAGCUUGUAGGUGGCUAUGUAAGUUGGACGUGAAAACUCCGGGCUUAACUUGGAGAGGCCGUUCAAUACUGCAAGGCUAGAGGAUGUCAGAGGGAAGUAGAAUUCCUGGUGUAGCAGUGAAAUGCGUAGAUAUCAGGAGGAAUACCCGUGGCGAAGGCGGCUUCCUGGGGCACACCUGACACUGAGAAGCGAAAGCUAGGGGAGCAAACGGG
rnacentral:rRNA from 1 species